GUUAAAAAGCUCGUAGUUGGAUCUCAGUUCCAGACGGGCGGUCCGCCUACCGGCGGCUACUGCCCGUUCUGAACAGCCCGCCGGUUUCUCUUGAUGAUCUUCACCGGUUGUCUUGGGUGACCGGCAAGUUUACUUUGAAAAAAUUAGAGUGCUCAAAGCAGGCGUGACGCCUGGAUAAUGGUGCAUGGAAUAAUGGAAUAGGACCUCGUUUCUAUUUUGUUGGUUUUCGGAACACGAGGUAAUGAUUAAGAGGGACAGACGGGGGCAUUCGUAUUGCGACGCUAGAGGUGAAAUUCUUGGACCGUCGCAAGACGAACUACUGCGAAAGCAUUUGCCAAGAAUGUUUCCAUUAAUCAAGAACGAAAGUUAGAGGUUCGAAGGCGAUCAGAUACCGCCCUAGUUCUAACCAUAAACGAUGCCAGCCAGCGAUCCGGCUGUGUUCCUCAAAUGACACGCCGGGCAGCUUCAGGGAAACCAAAGCUUUUGGGUUCCGGGGGAAGUAUGGUUGCAAAGCUGAAACUUAAAGGAAUUGACGGAGGGGCACCACCAGAGAUGGAGCCUGCGGCUCAAUUUGACUCAACACGGGGAAGCUUACCCGGCCCGGACGCAGGAAGGAUUGACAGAUUAAGAGCUCUUUCUUGAUUCUGCGGGUGGUGGUGCAUGGCCGUUCCUAGUUGGUGGAGCGAUUUGUCUGGUCAAUUCCGAUAACGAACGAGAUCCUAGCCUGCUAAAUAGACGUUCCGAUCCUUCCAGUCGGACGUUCUUCUUAGAGGGACAAGUGGCGUUCAGCCGCGCGAGACAGAGCAAUAACAGGUCUGUAAUGCCCUUAGAUGUCCGGGGCCGCACGCGCGCUACAUUGAAGGAAUCAGCGUGUGCUUUCCCGGUCCGACAGGACUGGGUAACCCGUUGAACCUCCUUCGUGCUGGGGAUAGGGGCUUGUAACUGUUCCCCUUGAACGAGGAAUCUCCAGUAAGCUCGAGUCAUCAGCUCGAGUUGAUUACGUCCCUGCCUCUUGUACACACCGCCCGUCGCUAUCCCCGAUCGAAUGAUUUAGUGAGGUCUUCGGACUGGCGCUCGGAUUGGCCUUCAUCGGGUCGAGCCGGCGUGCCGGAAAGAUA
rnacentral:rRNA from 1 species